CCUAGAUGCAUUUGCUUGCUCUGUUACUAGAAACUAUUCCCAGGUCUUGGCAAGAAAGGCUUCAGUCUGCUGCAGUGAACCUGUGGUAGAUGGAUCUCGAGGAGGUAGGGGUGGCUUGUCCAGGAAAAAAGAGUCUCUUCCACCCGCUUCAGGAUCGUCAUCAGUACAGUCCUGGAUGCAACAAACACAUGCACCUAAACUGAAAAGAGAAGCUUGAAGCUAUCAUCAUCCUUGGGUCAUCAUGUAAACACAGAACAAUAUGGAUAAGGACAGCACCCUUUGUGUCCUGGGCACAAGGAAAAGUCGCCUGAGGUGGAGACACCAGGCAGCACGAAAAAGAAGUCAGGACCCAGCCCUUGCGAGUAGAGGGAAGAAACCACUUGAAGUAGCAAGAACCAGGGAGGAGGCCUGUAUGAGCACCUGGAUAAAUGAAUGAAGAAAUUAGCUUCAUAAAAUUGCUUACAUGCACAUGGACAGAAUCAGCACUGCUGUUCAUCAGUAUUAUCUAUUUAAAGUGUUUUACUGCCUUCUAAUUUGAGUUUGAUUUUGUUUGUUCACACCAGCAAGAAAACUCACACGGUUUUCCUACAUGAUCUAUUUUAAAGUUAUUGUCCUCUUGUUAUGAGAAAGAUAGGACAGACACUCUGUUGAUGUUAGUGAAAGUCAUUAAACACUGAGUUAUAACCAAAGGUAAAAUGUACUUAGGAAUCUGUUUUGUUUUGGCUUUCACAGCCAGAACCGCUCUGGGGAGCGGGCAGAGUAAGUUAAAGAGGUGGAGCACCAGAGCAACAGUUGCUGGAGGCACUCUGCCUACAGAAUGCUGAACUAGACAGAAGGCCUACAGGGUUGCUAAAAAGGAGAGCACCCCAAGGCAAUUCCUACCCCUCUGAACAAUCCUCCUGGCCAUGACUCGGGGAUUGUGCAGCAGUGCUACAUGUGCUAGCCAUCCUCAACCCCCUCAUGCUCAGGCAGGAGAAGCACUAGCAUUCCUGCGCCCUCUGCAUGGCUGUACAAGGAGAGGGGGAAAGACUCUAGUACCUCUCUUCAUUCAGCCCUUUCACACUUGCAUAGGAACAAUUAAGAUUUAGAUCUAAGGCUCAGAUCCUCAAAGGUAUUUAGGUUUCAGAGUAACAGCCGUGUUAGUCUGUCUUUGCAAAAAGAAAAGGAGUACUUGUGGCACCUUAGAGACUAACCAAUUUAUUUGAGCAUGAACUUUCGUGAGCUACAGCUCACUUCAUCGGAUGCAUACCGUGGAAACUGCAGUAGACAUUAUAUACACACAGAGACCAUGAAACAAUACCUCCUCCC